UUCGUGCUCACUGACAGCAACGUCCGGGAC
rnacentral:piRNA from 1 species